UAAAUAUAAACAUUUGUACUGUAGACAGCAGGUGCCAUUGUGCUUAAAUUCCUGCCGAGGUAAUACGAUAAAAUUGCUGUUAAACAGCUAUUCGUUCAUGCCUUCAUGUCUAUUAAGGAUAUGGAGGUUUUUACUUUACCUG
rnacentral:sRNA from 1 species